GACCUGAUACCAGCGACUGCAGCGUCUGUGCAGAGCUGCUGCAGAGACUCCAGCUGAGAACAUCAGGACAAACAUCCUCAUCUGGUUCAGCCUGAACAGCAGGUCCACCAUUUCACCUGUGGAGACAUGGAGCACCUGGCUGUGAUCUGGUUCUUCUCAGCUCUGAUAGGUCAGAGCUUGGAAGCUGACAUCACCGCCGUCAGAUCUCAGGAGUUUUCAUCAGAGGGACGCAGGGUUACUUUGUCCUGUAACUAUUCAGUUAAAGCUCAGAACCUCCAGUGGUAUCGACAGGAUCCUGGAUCAGCUCCUCGGUUCCUUCUCCUGAUCACUGAUACUAAAGAUCCAACCGUGGUGGAAGCAAAACCUCCAAACCCUCGACUGACUGCAGAACUGAACGAGCAGAGGAACCGAGUGGACCUGCUGAUCUCCUCUGCUGCAGUGUCAGACUCUGCUGUGUACUACUGUGCUCUGCAGCCCACAGUGACAGGAAACAGCAGAACUCUGUACAAGAACCUGCAGUACUCCACAACAUCCACUAGAGGGCCUCACAGGCUGCUCCACCUCUGGUUUGUCAGGAUUCAGUCUGAUUGAGCUGCUGAGAGAAAGCAGACAUCAGAGGCUUUGCUGCAUCAUUGAACUCUUUGUGAUGAGAAGGUUUGGAUCAGAAAGGAGGAGGAUGGUUGCUCCAUGAUGGAGGUGCAGCCUGUGCAGGA